rnacentral:rRNA from 1 species
AGUGAACGCUGGCGGUAGGCCUAACACAUGCAGGUCGAACGGCAGCACAGUAAGAGCUUGCUCUUACGGGUGGCGAGUGGCGGACGGGUGAGGAAUACAUCGGAAUCUACUUUUUCGUGGGGGAUAACGUAGGGAAACUUACGCUAAUACCGCAUACGACCUACGGGUGAAAGCAUGGGAUCUUCGGACCUUGCGCGAUUGAAUGAGCCGAUGUCGGAUUAGCUAGUUGGCGGGGUAAAGGCCCACCAAGGCGACGAUCCGUAGCUGGUCUGAGAGGAUGAGCAGCCACACUGGAACUGGGACACGGUCCAGGCUCCUACGGGAGGCAGCCGUGGGGAAUAUUGGACAAUGGGCGCAAGCCUGAUCCAGCCAUACCGCGUGGGUGAAGGAGGCCUUCGGGUUGUAAAGCCCUUUUGUGGGGAAAGAAAAGCAGCAGGUUAAUACCCCGCUGUUCUGACGGUACCCAAAGAAUAAGCACCGGCUAACUUCGUG